rnacentral:snoRNA from 1 species
AACCAUGGUGGGGGCAAAGGACUUGCAAUUCCUUGAAUUUUUCCCAUGCUUGGAAUAAAGUAUCAUUAUCCUUUUGGGCAAAUGAAGAAAUUUACUUCUUCAUGGC